UACGUAGGGGGCAAGCGUUGUCCGGAAUUACUGGGCGUAAAGGGCGCGUAGGCGGCCUUCUAAGUCGAACGUGAAAUCCCCGGGCUCAACCCGGGAACUGCGUCCGAUACUGGAAGGCUUGAAUCCGGGAGAGGGAUGCGGAAUUCCACGUGUAGCAGUGAAAUGCGUAGAUAUGUGGAGGAAUACCGAUGGCGAAGGCAGCCCCCUGGGAUAACACUGACGCUCAUGCACGAAAGCGUGGGGAGCAAACAGG
rnacentral:rRNA from 1 species